GGUGAUAUGAACCGUUAUAACCGGCGAUUUCCGAAUGGGGAAACCCAGGGUGUUUCGACCCACUAUCAUUAACUGAAUCCAUAGGUUAAUGAGGCGAACCGGGGGAACUGAAACAUCUAAGUACCCCGAGGAAAAGAAAUCAACCGAGAUUCCCCCAGUAGCGGCGAGCGAACGGGGAGGAGCCCAGAGCCUGAAUCAGUGUGUGUGUUAGUGGAAGCGUCUGGAAAGGCGCGCGAUACAGGGUGACAGCCCCGUACACAAAAAUGCACAUAUUGUGAGCUCGAUGAGUAGGGCGGGACACGUGGUAUCCUGUCUGAAUAUGGGGGGACCAUCCUCCAAGGCUAAAUACUCCUGACUGACCGAUAGUGAACCAGUACCGUGAGGGAAAGGCGAAAAGAACCCCGGCGAGGGGAGUGAAAAAGAACCUGAAACCGUGUACGUACAAGCAGUGGGAGCCUCUUUUAUGGGGUGACUGCGUACCUUUUGUAUAAUGGGUCAGCGACUUAUAUUCUGUAGCAAGGUUAACCGAAUAGGGGAGCCGAAGGGAAACCGAGUCUUAACUGGGCGUUAAGUUGCAGGGUAUAGACCCGAAACCCGGUGAUCUAGCCAUGGGCAGGUUGAAGGUUGGGUAACACUAACUGGAGGACCGAACCGACUAAUGUUGAAAAAUUAGCGGAUGACUUGUGGCUGGGGGUGAAAGGCCAAUCAAACCGGGAGAUAGCUGGUUCUCCCCGAAAGCUAUUUAGGUAGCGCCUCGUGAAUUCAUCUCCGGGGGUAGAGCACUGUUUCGGCAAGGGGGUCAUCCCGACUUACCAACCCGAUGCAAACUGCGAAUACCGGAGAAUGUUAUCACGGGAGACACACGGCGGGUGCUAACGUCCGUCGUGAAGAGGGAAACAACCCAGACCGCCAGCUAAGGUCCCAAAGUCAUGGUUAAGUGGGAAACGAUGUGGGAAGGCCCAGACAGCCAGGAUGUUGGCUUAGAAGCAGCCAUCAUUUAAAGAAAGCGUAAUAGCUCACUGGUCGAGUCGGCCUGCGCGGAAGAUGUAACGGGGCUAAACCAUGCACCGAAGCUGCGGCAGCGACGCUUAUGCGUUGUUGGGUAGGGGAGCGUUCUGUAAGCCUGUGAAGGUGUGCUGUGAGGCAUGCUGGAGGUAUCAGAAGUGCGAAUGCUGACAUAAGUAACGAUAAAGCGGGUGAAAAGCCCGCUCGCCGGAAGACCAAGGGUUCCUGUCCAACGUUAAUCGGGGCAGGGUGAGUCGACCCCUAAGGCGAGGCCGAAAGGCGUAGUCGAUGGGAAACAGGUUAAUAUUCCUGUACUUGGUGUUACUGCGAAGGGGGGACGGAGAAGGCUAUGUUGGCCGGGCGACGGUUGUCCCGGUUUAAGCGGGUAGGCUGGUUUUCCAGGCAAAUCCGGAAAAUCAAGGCUGAGGCGUGAUGACGAGGCACUACGGUGCUGAAGCAACAAAUGCCCUGCUUCCAGGAAAAGCCUCUAAGCAUCAGGUAACAUCAAAUCGUACCCCAAACCGACACAGGUGGUCAGGUAGAGAAUACCAAGGCGCUUGAGAGAACUCGGGUGAAGGAACUAGGCAAAAUGGUGCCGUAACUUCGGGAGAAGGCACGCUGAUAUGUAGGUGAAGUCCCUCGCGGAUGGAGCUGAAAUCAGUCGAAGAUACCAGCUGGCUGCAACUGUUUAUUAAAAACACAGCACUGUGCAAACACGAAAGUGGACGUAUACGGUGUGACGCCUGCCCGGUGCCGGAAGGUUAAUUGAUGGGGUUAGCGGUAACGCGAAGCUCUUGAUCGAAGCCCCGGUAAACGGCGGCCGUAACUAUAACGGUCCUAAGGUAGCGAAAUUCCUUGUCGGGUAAGUUCCGACCUGCACGAAUGGCGUAAUGAUGGCCAGGCUGUCUCCACCCGAGACUCAGUGAAAUUGAACUCGCUGUGAAGAUGCAGUGUACCCGCGGCAAGACGGAAAGACCCCGUGAACCUUUACUAUAGCUUGACACUGAACAUUGAGCCUUGAUGUGUAGGAUAGGUGGGAGGCUUUGAAGUGUGGACGCCAGUCUGCAUGGAGCCGGCCUUGAAAUACCACCCUUUAAUGUUUGAUGUUCUAACGUUGGCCCCUGAUCGGGGUUGCGGACAGUGUCUGGUGGGUAGUUUGACUGGGGCGGUCUCCUCCUAAAGAGUAACGGAGGAGCACGAAGGUUGGCUAAUCCUGGUCGGACAUCAGGAGGUUAGUGCAAUGGCAUAAGCCAGCUUGACUGCGAGCGUGACGGCGCGAGCAGGUGCGAAAGCAGGUCAUAGUGAUCCGGUGGUUCUGAAUGGAAGGGCCAUCGCUCAACGGAUAAAAGGUACUCCGGGGAUAACAGGCUGAUACCGCCCAAGAGUUCAUAUCGACGGCGGUGUUUGGCACCUCGAUGUCGGCUCAUCACAUCCUGGGGCUGAAGUAGGUCCCAAGGGUAUGGCUGUUCGCCAUUUAAAGUGGUACGCGAGCUGGGUUUAGAACGUCGUGAGACAGUUCGGUCCCUAUCUGCCGUGGGCGCUGGAGAACUGAGGGGGGCUGCUCCUAGUACGAGAGGACCGGAGUGGACGCAUCACUGGUGUUCGGGUUGUCAUGCCAAUGGCACUGCCCGGUAGCUAAAUGCGGAAGAGAUAAGUGCUGAAAGCAUCUAAGCACGAAACUUGCCCCGAGAUGAGUUCUCCCUGACUCCUUGAGAGUCCUGAAGGAACGUUGAAGACGACGACGUUGAUAGGCCGGGUGUGUAAGCGCAGCGAUGCGUUGAGCUAACCGGUACUAAUGAACCGUGAGGCUUAACCUUACAACGCCGAAG
rnacentral:rRNA from 1 species